GAUGAACGCUGGCGGCGUGCCUAAUACAUGCAAGUCGAGCGAACAGACGAGGAGCUUGCUCCUCUGACGUUAGCGGCGGACGGGUGAGUAACACGUGGAUAACCUACCUAUAAGACUGGGAUAACUUCGGGAAACCGGAGCUAAUACCGGAUAAUAUAUUGAACCGCAUGGUUCAAUAGUGAAAGACGGUUUUGCUGUCACUUAUAGAUGGAUCCGCGCCGCAUUAGCUAGUUGGUAAGGUAACGGCUUACCAAGGCAACGAUGCGUAGCCGACCUGAGAGGGUGAGAGGCCACACUGGAACUGAGACACGGUCCAGACUCCUAAGGGAGGGAGCAGUACGGAAUCUUCCGCAAUGGGCGAAAGCCUGACGGAGCAACGCCGCGUGAGUGAUGAAGGUCUUCGGAUCGUAAAACUCUGUUAUUAGGGAAGAACAAAUGUGUAAGUAGCUAUGCACGUCUUGACGGUACCUAGUCAGAAAGCCACGGCUAACUACGUG
rnacentral:rRNA from 1 species